rnacentral:rRNA from 1 species
AUUGAACGCUAGCGGCAUGCCUAACACAUGCAAGUCGAACGGCAGCACGAGGAGCUUGCUCCUUGGUGGCGAGUGGCGGACGGGUGAGUAACGCGUAGGAAUCUACCUUUUAGCGGGGGACAACCCGGGGAAACUCGGGCUAAUACCGCAUAAUCUCUACGGAGCAAAGUAGGGGACCCUUCGGGGCCUUACACUAAAAGAUGAGCCUGCGUCGGAUUAGCUAGUUGGUGGGGUAAAGGCCUACCAAGGCGACGAUCCGUAGCUGGGCUGAGAGGACGACCAGCCACACGGGGAAUGAGACACGGGCCAGACUCCUACGGGAGGCAGCAGUGGGGAAUAUUGGACAAUGGGCGAAAGCCUGAUCCAGCAAUGCCGCGUGUGUGAAGAAGGCCUUCGGGUUGUAAAGCACUUUCAGUGGGGAAGAAAAAGUCGAAGAAAAUAUCUUCGAAAAUUGACGUUACCCACAGAAGAAGCACUGGCUAACUCUGUGCCAGCCGCCGCAGUAA